rnacentral:ncRNA from 2 species
AAAGUUCACUAGGGGUGCUGUAAAAGCUGAGAAAGACAUGAUGUCUUAACCCUUGAAACCUGCACUAGUUAAUACUAGCGAAGGGAAGUGGUAUCAAUAUGGA